rnacentral:rRNA from 1 species
GUGUCAGCAGCCGCGGUAAUACGGAGGGUGCGAGCGUUGUCCGGAUUUAUUGGGUUUAAAGGGUGCGUAGGCGGCCCGUUAAGUCCGGGGUGAAAGCCCGCUGCUCAACAGCGGAACUGCCCUGGAUACUGACGGGCUUGAGUACAGACGAGGUUGGCGGAAUGGACUGAGUAGCGGUGAAAUGCAUAGAUACAGUCCAGAACCCCGAUUGCGAAGGCAGCUGACUAGGCUGUUACUGACGCUGAGGCACGAAAGCGUGGGGAGCGAACAGGAUUAGAUACCCCCGUAGUCC